rnacentral:rRNA from 1 species
UACGGGGGGGGGUAAGCGUUGUUCGGAAUUACUGGGCGUAAAGGGCUCGUAGGCGGCCAACUAAGUCAUACGUGAAAUCCCUCAGCUUAACUGGGGAACUGCGUGUGAUACUGGAUGGCUUGGAUUUGGGAGAGGGAUGCGGAAUUCCAGGUGUAGCGGUGAAAUGCGUAGAUAUCGGGAAGAACACCCGUGGCGAAGGCGGCUCUCUGGGACGGUACUGACGCUGAGACGCGCAAAGCGUGGGAGGCGAAC